rnacentral:tRNA from 1 species
GGUUGUAGCUCAGUGGUAGAGUGCUUGUCUAGAAUGUGUGAGGCUCUGAGUUUGAGUCUCAGCACCA